rnacentral:rRNA from 1 species
AGACCCGAAACCCGGUGAUCUAGCCAUGGGCAGGUUGAAGGUUGGGUAACACUAACUGGAGGACCGAACCGACUAAUGUUGAAAAAUUAGCGGAUGACCUGUGGCUGGGGGUGAAAGGCCAAUCAAACCGGGAGAUAGCUGGUUCUCCCCGAAAGCUAUUUAGGUAGCGCCUCGUGAACUCAUCUCCGGGGGUAGAGCACUGUUUCGGCUAGGGGGCCAUCCCGGCUUACCAACCCGAUGCAAACUGCGAAUACCGGAGAAUGUUAUCACGGGAGACACACGGCGGGUGCUAACGUCCGUCGUGAAGAGGGAAACAACCCAGACCGCCAGCUAAGGUCCCAAAGUCAUGGUUAAGUGGGAAACGAUGUGGGAAGGCCCAGACAGCCAGGAUGUUGGCUUAGAAGCAGCCAUCAUUUAAAGAAAGCGUAAUAGCUCACUGGUCGAGUCGGCCUGCGCGGAAGAUGUAACGGGGCUAAACCAUGCACCGAAGCUGCGGCAGCGACACUUUAGUGUUGUUGGGUAGGGGAGCGUUCUGUAAGCCG